CAGAGGUGGUUGGCUGUGUUAGUCUCUGCUUAUUUUAUCUAUCUAAUCUAAAGCAGCUGUCUCUAUGGUUUGGGAUGGUGGUGGAGGAAGGGAGGAGGGGUAGCGGGCAAAGAACCUGAUUCCAUUGCAAUGCGAGUGGUGGGCUACCCCAAAUCUCUUGGGAUAGAGAAGAAGCAGAUGAGCUCCAGAAAAGUCUGCUGGGAAGCAGAUGACUACAGAGCCUGGGGCAGGCAGGCAGCAGCUCCAGGCAAAUGGAUUGGAUGCCAAUCCACCCCUGCCUUCUGCGCAGCUGUCGUAGUAUCUUACUGCCUGUUGAAAAUAGAAGAUGCAGCCAUUGGCAAUCUCUGACUUCCUCAGAAAUGGACUGUUCUGUGCUCAGGUAUUAAAUGUGGGGAUGACCUGGAAGAGUCGGUCCUGCCAGGGGAGAGUUUUCUUCUCUUGUAGAAAGGAGUAUUGUGCAAAUCUUAUUCAAGAUACUGAAAAGCGUUAGUGUUCACAUAUCCCAGCUAGUGUGUGCUAACUCCUCCAGGCUGUGUUUUUUUUUUUUUUUUUAUUGCCCUUUACUUUCUGUACUUAUAAAAGUUAGAGCCAGGUAACGUGUUACCUUUUUGAUUGAUUUGCAUUUUCACUCAGCUUGUGGUGGUAUCAACGACUGAACAAGGUGAAGACAAUGAAUGAUCAGGUCUCUUUGGUUUUGCUUUUUGUUCCUUAGCUGUGCCACAUUUGAGUCUAUUCCCCCUACCUGUUUCUUCCUCUGGUAGUCUUUAACCCAGUUUUUUCAAUAUAUGGGCAAUAACAUAAGUCUCUUUUAUUUGUAUGAUAUCACUCAGGAAAGUUAGAAAUGGAAGCAUUCCAGCUCUUUAAGACUUUGAGGCCACUGGGAAUUAUCUGAGUCUAUUACAGCUGUGAAUUCAAAUUUGGCAAGCUAUUAUCAUCUAUGAUUUGUAUUACAGUCAUGCCUAGAGGCGAGAAUCUCAUUGUGCUAGGCCUUGUUGAAACUGUAACAAAGGGACAGUCUCUGUGAUUCUGUCUCUGUACUUGAUUCAGGACUUAAAAUUUCUGCAACUGUUCAUUUAUCGAGUUUAUUAGCGGCUAUAGCACUUGAACCAUGUGGAUUCUUUGUCAAAUUUUGCACAAUCUUCUUAACACUUUCAUAUUCAAAUAGUGAUAGGUCCUAGAAACCCCAUUCAGGGAUUGUGGCCAUGUAAAAAAAAGAAGGUGGUCCUUACUUUAAAGAGCGUGCAGAUUUCAGUAUAAGAGAGACUACAGAUGAAUACAACAGAGGGGAGCAACAUAGCAAUGAAACCAUUAUGGUUAGCAUAACAAAUACUAUUUAUAGUACAUCGGGUGCCUAACCAUUGUUGAGUGUUAUGUAAGGAUGAGUUGUAAUGACACACGAAGGAGAAUAAUCUGGCAUUUUUUUGGCUGUUGAGAAGCUCUUCCUUUGCAUAGAGGACAACCUGGAAGAAGAUGCUAUGAUGCUGGAGGAGAAGAUGGACUGAUGGUAGAAAAACCAUUGGCAGAACUGAAUCCCAAACUGCUCCAGAUUCAUGUUGCUGUGGUUUUGACCAAUGCAUCUUCCUAUGUAAGAGAAGUUAAGAUCUCCCCGAUCUUCAAGAGGGACACAGACCCAUAAUGUAAAUCACAGACAUUUUCUAAUCAGUUUGGACUGGACAACAAGGGCAUGUCCAGAUGAGUGCGCAUGUGCAGUUCGUGGUGCCACAGACCGCAGGCAUUUGCAAGCAUGUUCAUUUGAAGUGCGGUGGGGUUUUUUGACGCUAGGAAAUCCCAGUCUCAAAAAAAAUCCAUGCCAAGAAAGGUGGGGUGGUGCAUGUGGCAGCAGUGUACUCUGCCGUGCUCUGGAUGCCGGUCAGGCUCUGAGCACCCAGAUCGCCACUGCUGGAGCCCAGGAGGCACCCAGGACUCCCGCUAAGGCUGCUGGAGCCAGUCCAGGUGCUGGCCCCAGCCUCCCCUACUCCACCCAGGGCAAUUUGCUGUGUGCCUGAGCAUGCAUGCAGGGGUGUUCCCUGGGGACAAGUAGCAGUGGCACAACUACGUGGCACUGCUAUUUGUCCCCAGGCAAAUGCAUGUGCAUGCUCAUCUGGACGCUCCCCAAGGUGUUAGCCAAAGGCUCUGUCCAGUCUCAUUCUGUAGCUAUUUCAACUAUAUCAAUCAGAUUUCAUAAAAGGGAGAUGUAAGAUUCAUUGGGUCAACAGGAGCUGAGUUCCUUACCCACGGGUAGCCUAUAGUCAGAUGAAGCGUUCGCAUGCAAGGUAAGAGAUGUGGGUUUGAACCCACUUAGGUUGAAGAGGGAAUUGAAACCAGAUUUUAAGUUGAAUGAAUGCUCGAAGGUUCUCCUCUAACAAAAAGCUGAGUAUAACCACUAGCAGCCCCUCUUUAAAGGAACGGGUGAGCCAGUUGCCUGUUGAAGAACUUAGGGCCUGAGUCCAGCAAAGUUUUUGGACUAUGAAUCAUCCUUUUCUGUAGGUGCCUCCCUGCAGUCCUGAGUUAGGUACCUAACCUCCGGUGGAGUGGGAUUUAUGACACACCCUUCUCUGCAGCAUUUGCUGCGGGCUAUUUUAGGCAGUCACUUGUCCGAUUCCCAUGCUGAAGUCCCUGCCUCUACCCGUGCAUUGUGCGGGGAGCUCAGCUCUUCCCUUUCAGCAUGGAACAUGCCUGGGCUGGCAACUCUCAAUGCUGCACUUUGAUAUAUCUGUCAAGAGCCCUUGCAAGCCCUGAAACACAGAACUUGCUUCAACCCAUCCAGGGUGCUUAAACAUUCAUUGAAAAAUUCCCCCAAAUUUAGGGGCCUCCCAUAAGACAAACCUUGAAUAAAUUCGGGCAUUUUAACUGCUUGCAGCUCACAGUCAUCCUAAUCCUUAAACCAUUCCUUGCAUUCUUCUCUUUCCCCCUUAUAACCCACAUACCUUAGGCACUUGCGUGCUCAAUCACAAUUUUUUUCCUUUUUCCUUCCUAUUUCUUUUUUUUUUCUUUUACAGUUUGAUAUAAGUGAGGAUGCAGAUAACUUAAUUUAGAAUCCAGGUGUUAAUUUACUACCUUUAUUUAGUGCCCGUUUGCUGUUCCUUUUCUCCUCUCUGCAUUUGAGUCUACUUGGCAAUAAUAAAAGAAAAUUCCAUUUGCUUCCCUUAAUAUUCUGGUUGUCUGGCUUCUCCACUCAUUGUUAGCUGAUCCCAUGAUAAGAUUUAUGUCCUGCCAUCUGAUCCUUUUGUAUGAAUCCAGUUUACAGCUAUAAGGAUUAUAACUGUAUUGUCCUUGGAUUGCAAGCUCGUCUCUGUUGGAGGCAAAUAAAAACAUUUGUUUGCAAACCAAAUGCAUCAAGAAAUGUCCAUGUCUUGCUUCAGCUGUGUAACUUGCUUCCUAGUAGUUUGCAAACAUCAGUGUUAAUUUUAGCCUGGUAAGGCAACAGU